rnacentral:rRNA from 2 species
AGAGUUUGAUCCUGGCUCAGGACGAACGCUGGCGGCGCGCCUAACACAUGCAAGUCGAACGAGCGAGAGAGAGCUUGCUUUCUCGAGCGAGUGGCGAACGGGUGAGUAACGCGUGAGGAACCUGCCUCAAAGAGGGGGACAACAGUUGGAAACGACUGCUAAUACCGCAUAAGCCCACGGGUCGGCAUCGACCAGAGGGAAAAGGAGCAAUCCGCUUUGAGAUGGCCUCGCGUCCGAUUAGCUAGUUGGUGAGGUAACGGCCCACCAAGGCGACGAUCGGUAGCCGGACUGAGAGGUUGAACGGCCACAUUGGGACUGAGACACGGCCCAGACUCCUACGGGAGGCAGCAGUGGGGAAUAUUGCACAAUGGGGGAAACCCUGAUGCAGCGACGCCGCGUGGAGGAAGAAGGUCUUCGGAUUGUAAACUCCUGUUGUUGAGGAAGAUAAUGACGGUACUCAACAAGGAAGUGACGGCUAACUACGUGCCAGCAGCCGCGGUAAAACGUAGGUCACAAGCGUUGUCCGGAAUUACUGGGUGUAAAGGGAGCGCAGGCGGGAAGACAAGUUGGAAGUGAAAUCCAUGGGCUCAACCCAUGAACUGCUUUCAAAACUGUUUUUCUUGAGUAGUGCAGAGGUAGGCGGAAUUCCCGGUGUAGCGGUGGAAUGCGUAGAUAUCGGGAGGAACACCAGUGGCGAAGGCGGCCUACUGGGCACCAACUGACGCUGAGGCUCGAAAGUGUGGGUAGCAAACAGGAUUAGAUACCCUGGUAGUCCACACCGUAAACGAUGAUUACUAGGUGUUGGAGGAUUGACCCCUUCAGUGCCGCAGUUAACACAAUAAGUAAUCCACCUGGGGAGUACGACCGCAAGGUUGAAACUCAAAGGAAUUGACGGGGGCCC